rnacentral:lncRNA from 1 species
CUAGUCAAUAUCCUAUCAAAAAUCAUAGUAGGUUUGUUGUAACAUCCACAAGGCUUGCUAUGAGGAUUAAUGUGGGUUUGUCUUGGUGUAUAUUAGAUAUUUUAUGAUAUAUUUUGGAUAUAUUGCUUUGUUGUGAUAUCCAUAAGGGCAAUAUUUUUCAGAUAUGACUGUAUAAAAAUAAAGGGUCUAACUUCACUAUAAAAUACUAUAGUUUGUUG